rnacentral:rRNA from 1 species
AACGAACGCUGGCGGCAUGCCUAACACAUGCAAGUCGAACGGGAUCCGAGCUUCGGUUCGGUGAGAGUGGCGGACGGGUGAGUAACGCGUGGGAACCUGCCCAGUGGUGGGGGAUAACUGCGGGAAACUGCAGCUAAUACCGCAUGAGCCCGAGAGGGGAAAGAUUUAUCGCCAUUGGAGGGGCCCGCGUUCGAUUAGGUAGUUGGUGAGGUAACGGCUCACCAAGCCUUCGAUCGAUAGCUGGUCUGAGAGGAUGAUCAGCCACACUGGGACUGAGAUACGGCCCAGACUCCUACGGGAGGCAGCAGUGGGGAAUAUUGGACAAUGGGGGGCAACCCUGAUCCAGCAAUGCCGCGUGAGUGAUGAAGGCCUU